AAAAAGGGCAUCUGCUGUGACUGGCAUAGCUGUGGAAAGGAUACACUGACACAGUUACGGAAUCGCUAUCAAGAGAUUUCGGAUGCACGAUUUUUGUAAUCUGAGGCUGCCAUUGAUCAAUGUUCUUGGUGCCUUG